GACGAACGCUGGCGGCGUGCUUAACACAUGCAAGUCGAACGGUAAUGCCCGUCGGGGUACACGAGUGGCGAACGGUUGAGUAACACGUGGGUGAUCUGCCCUGCACUUCGGGCUAAGCCUGAGAAACUGGGCCUAAUACCGGUUAAGACCACGGGCAGCAUGGGUGGUGGUGGAAGGCUUUUGCGGUGUGGGAUGGGCACGCGGCCUAUCAGCUUGUUGGUGGGGUGAUGGCCUACCGAGGCGACGACGGGUAGCCGGACUGAGAGGGUGAGCGGCCACACUGAGACUGAGAUACGGCCCAGACUCCUACGGGAGGCAGCAGUGGGGAAUAUUGCACAAUGGGCGCAAGCCUGAUGCAGCGACGCCGCGUGAGGGAUGACGGCCUUCGGGUUGUAAACCUCUUUCAGCACCGACGAAGCGCAAGUGACGGUGGGUGCAGAAGAAGGACCGGCCAACUACGUGCCAGCCGCCGCCGUAACAC
rnacentral:rRNA from 1 species